GAUGAAGAACGCAGCGAAAUGCGAUAAGUAAUGUGAAUUGCAGAAUUCAGUGAAUCAUCGAAUCUUUGAACGCACAUUGCGCCCGCCAGUAUUCUGGCGGGCAUGCCUGUUCGAGCGUCAUUUCAACCAUCAAGCCCCCGGCUUGUGUUGGGGACCUGCGGCUGCCGCAGGCCCUGAAAACCAGUGGCGGGCUCGCUAGUCACUCCGAGCGUAGUAAUACAUCUCGCUUUGGGCGUGCGGCGGGUUCUUGCCGUUAAACACCCCCUUUUUACCAAGGUUGACCUCGGAUCAGGUAGGAAUACCCGCUGAACUUAAGCAUAUCAAUAAGCGGAGGA
rnacentral:misc_RNA from 1 species